GUCACUCUGGUGGGGGCGGGGCAGGCCGCGCAGCGUGUGACGCCGCGGCCGCCGCGGCCGCCGCGGAUCUGGGGAUUAAUGGGAAAAGUUUUGGCAGGAGCCGGAGGAUUCUACGGAGCCCGCGGGACGGCGGCGGUGGCGCGGAGGGCAGCCACGACAGCGUUGCGUGGUGUUUUGGGGUAUGCACGUGGUACUCACUCAGUGGCUUCUUUUCACCGACAGAUGAGGACAGAUGCACCAAAGAGGAAAGGAUACUGCCUCCAGUCUGAAGAUUUCUUUUCAUGGCUUUUAGAGAAAAACCUCUCAGGAGCUCAGAAAAAAAGAUAUAACAAACAGAUUGAUAAGGAUACGAUGCGACAGAUGCCGUGGUGGAGAUGUGUGUGGGAAAACUGCCGGGAGGGAAGGAACUGCUAAAGGAAGCCUUUAGCCCUCCUCUAAAGGCUUUCAGAGGAGGCUGGUUAAUGGAGCCUUAAGAAAGGCUCAGGGUGAGCUUUUGGCAUCUGGGGUGGGCCUCGCAGGCUGGGCAGAAUUGCAGCAGACUGAGAUGGUGUAGGAAGCACAAGUGUGAUGAAAAGAGCAGCAGCUCAGAUGUGAUUGGGGAAAUCAAGAGUAUUGUUUAUCUAUUGCUUCAUAACAAAUUACCCCAAAACUUAGUGGCGUAAAACAACAUUUAUGAUCUGGCAGUGUCUGUGGGUCAGGAGGCAGUUACACAAGGGCCUGAAUAUUAGGAGGCAGGUGUUUUGCAAGCCGUUUUAGAAGGCUGCCUCCAAUAGCAAGUUGCAGUGAGGAUGGGAUUGACUUGGAGCCGGCUGGAGGUGGGGUGGAGCCAUUAAUGUAGGUAAUCUUACAUGGUUGGCUGGGAGGUUGGGAUUGAUGUGAGAACAUGGGAGCCACGGAAGGCCUCUGAGCAGGAGAAUAAUGUGAUAGGUAUUAUCUAGGACAGUUAAUCUGCUAGGAUUAUACCAGACGGGUCAAAAUGGAGAGUGAUACACAGGUAGAGACUUAGAUUAGGAGAGGUCUGUAUUAACCGAAGUGAAAAGUUUCUGGCCUUUAGUAACAGUUGCUACGCAUGGAGCACCUUCUCUGUACCAUGUACUUUGGCUGUGCUUUCUCAACUCUUCUGUCUUAGAAACGACCACAGAAAGAAGGUAUUACUGAUGUAUAUUGUUUGCAGCUGAGAAAACCAAGCCUCCAAGAGGUUAAGAAACUCGCGUAUGGUGCACAACUAGUAAGUUGCAAAGUGGGCCUCAGGUCUGCCUGGCCUUGAGGACCGUGCCUUUGGGUGGCAGCGUGAGUGGAAAGGUGGGGAUGACUGUGGAGACACAGCCUUGGCCCUUCCCUGGAUGCUGAAGGGAGACGGAGGAGUCUGAUAGCUUGAUUUUUUGAACCUAGGUGGCCAGGACAAAGAUGACACUGUAACAGGAGGAAAAGAGGCCAGUGGGUCGCUGCUGUGGUGGGGGAAGGUGAGUCAUCCUGGAACACUGGGUGCUUGUUGGCAGGGUCCUUCCCAAUUAUAGGGGAUCGUAAAUGGUUUCCAGACUUGGUGUAUGAAGAUGUGCUUUUGGCCAAAAAGGGCUCUAAAAGUGGGAGCUUCUUGGUCAGAGGGUUCUGUGAGGAGGUUGUUUGUUUGAACACUGGGUUUUCGUGUUCCCUCAGCAGUCUGAGUGGGGCCUCUGCCACAUUCUGCUGGUCAGAGCAGUCCCUGGACCAGCCCUGAUUCAAGGAGGCAGGAGUAGCAAGGACAGCCAUCUUUAACCCACUAAGGGCCAGUGAUGGAGAGCAGGGAUUCGAACUCACAGCUGUGUGACUCAGACCCAGGGUUCUUUCUGCUUCCGACUCCUUGGGGCCUGUAGAGCUUGCUGGCUCACGUGUGUUGUUGAAGGGAACUAAUUUUUAUUUUGGCUUCCCAGAGCAGAAGUUGCACUAGUCACCUCUUUUUCACAGGUUAGCCUCCAAGAUCACCAUGCCUGAGAGAACCUUCCAAAAUUGGCUUUGUCUGGGGGAUCUGCUGGCUGUCCCCCUUUGGCACUGAUUGCCGAACACGCCUGGAAUUUCCCCGCUGAGUUUCCCCUCCUGAACUUAGUGCUGGCCUGUGGGAUCCCUGCAGUGCUGCAGCCAGAUGUGCAGACGGGCCCCAUUGCAAGUUGUCCCAGGUGGUGUCUAGUCCAAUGAUUCCCAGGGAAAACUCAGCUGGCAGAUUCACCAGGGAAUUUUGGAAGAAAGGUAGUUUCCUGGGCCUUGUCUCAGGCCUCUCGAAUUAGAAUUUACAAGCAUGAACUCCAGGAAUCUGCGUUUUAAAGCGCCCCAUUGACCUGAGGGGGCAGCCUGGUUGGAGAACCACUGACUUCUCGGAAAGGUGCCUUUGAAGUCACCGAUCAGAGUUCAAGUGGGGCCUGAGAAUGACUGUCCUGAGGGCCUCACACCUCACAACCAGGAAGUGACUCCUGAAAGCCUCCAGGUUUCUGACUGCAUCUGCCCAAAGGAUGCUCUUUUGCAUUUUUAAAAAAUUUAUUUUAUUUAUUUAUUUUUAGCUGCGUUGGGUCUUCAUUGCUUCGUGCAGACUUUCUCUAGUUGCGGCGAGUGGGGGCUACUCUUCGUUGCGGUGCGCAGGCUUCUCAUUGCGGUAGUUUCUCUUGUUGCGGAGCACGGGCUCUAGGCGCGCAGGCUUCAAUAGUUGUGGCUCACAGGCUCAGUAGUUGUGGUGCAUGGGCUUAGUUGCUGCAUGGCAUGUGGGAUCUUCCUGGACCAGGGAUCAAACCCAUGUCCCCUGCAUUGGCAGGCGGAUUCUUAACCACUGCACCACCAGGGAAGUCCCCAUAUUUGGU